UGCAUGUCAAUUAUAUAAUGCAUUUCUAAGAAAUGCCGGUCAGUAACGUACAAUUUACGUACAGCAAAAAGUAAGAUGGACAUUAUUUUUUAAAGCGAAUUGCGUAUCCUUUUGUUACAUUAAGAAAUGCAAGUAAAUCCCCCUAAUAUUUUCCUGGAAUUCCGAUCCAAAGGUUAAAAAAACAUGUCGCAAGUAGACUGAGUAACAACAGUGCACGUAAAAAGGAACAUGAUCCUUGAAGAUGUUAGACGUGACCUUGGAAGGGUUGCUAGAUGUAUCGAGACAUUUAUUUUCCUUUUUUUUCUCUCUCACACUUUAUUUGUGCAAUUGCAUUCGUAGUUUAUUGGGUGGGUUUGUGUGUUUGCCCUGUAAAACGUUCGUUCAAGUUUGUUUGUUUUCUAAUUAAAGCAAAAUGUUUUUUUCCCCUAAUAAUAGUCAUACAAGUUUUGGUAACUAAUAAUGCUUCAUAAAACAUGUGCUUUAUAAAGUUCUCAAGAAUUUCUGUUCUCUUAACAUCCACAACGAAGACUAAUACAACACAGCAAAGGCGCAUUUCCCACUGAAAUCAACAUGAUUUUGAUACUAAUUCCCAUCAAGUAGAUACUAGGAGCAGUUAUGUAGGAAAAAUGAAUAAUUCCUUAAGACCAACUGACUUCUCUGUUCCACACAGAUAUUAUUAGAGAAGAAUGCCUAUAUAUAUAUAUAUAUAUAUAUAUAUAUAUAUAUAUAUAUAUAUAUAUAUAUAUAUAUAUGUCGGUGGAUUUGUCGUAUAUGCAUAUCAUGUACGGGGUGAAAUGCCGAACUAACCAUAGAAUGCUUAACGAGAUUACGCAAACGAGCAUGCGUAGCCAGACUUUUUCGGGUAAGGUUAGAUGCCUGAGGGUAAUUGGGAAGUGACCUCACACCUUCUAAACAAGGGUGAGUCCUCACUCGCCUUCCACCCACCACUCUCCCUUUUUUUGUAUAUACAUCAUCUGGAAAAACAUAACAAAAGCUACUCGCAGUUUUCUGAAGAAUCACGCCGAACUGCAGUAACCAUCCAAUGUCAAAUUUGUAUUCAGUGUCAAUAUAUUUUUCUUUUAUUUGUUAUAAUAAAUCUCUAUUAUACUCCAAGCACUUUCCUUUGCCAUAAGAAUAAGAUAAAUAUCCAAUACAAAUAAUCAUUAAUUUAAAUGAAAAGAAUAAAUUAACAUGAAAAAUGAAAUGGAAAAGAACAUAAUACAGAUUUUCUUAAA
rnacentral:lncRNA from 1 species